rnacentral:rRNA from 1 species
CCUACGGGAGGCAGCAGUGAGGAAUAUUGGUCAAUGGGCGUAAGCCUGAACCAGCCAAGUCGCGUGAGGGAUGAAGGUUCUAUGGUUCGUAAACCUCUUUUAUAAGGGAAUAAAGUGCGGGACGUGUCCCGUUUUGUAUGUACCUUAUGAAUAAGGAUCGGCUAACUCCGUGCCAGCAGCCGCGGUAAUACGGAGGAUCCGAGCGUUAUCCGGAUUUAUUGGGUUUAAAGGGAGCGUAGGUGGAUUGUUAAGUCAGUGGUGAAAGUUUGCGGCUCAACCGUAAAAUUGCAGUUGAAACUGGCAGUCUUGAGUAUGGUAGAGGUAGGCGGAAUGCGUGGUGUAGCGGUGAAAUGCAUAGAUAUCACGCAGAACUCCGAUUGCGAAGGCAGCAUACCGGCGCGUGACUGACGCUCAUGCACGAAAGCGUGGGUAUCGAACAGGAUUAGAUACCCGGGUAGUC